rnacentral:ncRNA from 1 species
CCUUGUCAAAACUAGUAUACACAAGGGCAGUCCAUCUAUUUAAUUAAAAAAAAGAAUUGCAAUGGUCCUUGUGGAUGCUGACCCAAUGUGAUUUAUACCCAAUGCUUUGCAUGUUAAAGAAAAUAAAUUCAACCAAGCCCGGGUAAACGAUGGGAGUAACUAAUCAUAUGCCUCCUCAUCUAAUUAGUGACAUGUGUGAAUGGAUUAACAAGAUUCCCACUGUCCCUAGAUAUUAUCUAUAGAAACCACAACCAACAGAUAUUAG